rnacentral:lncRNA from 1 species
GCAUCUGCAUGUCCUCCUUACACACCAGACGCCUCUUCUCAAACACUGGCUUAUCAUCCCUCACCUCUGACAUACAAACAGGGGAACACUUCUGUCCUGCGUGUGUGUGUGUGUGUGUGUGUGUGUGUGUGUGUGUGUGUGUGUGUGUGUGUGUGUGUGUGUGUGUGUGUGUGUGUGUGUGUGUGUGUGUGUGUGUGUGUGUGUGUGUGUGUCCCCUCUUACCCAUCAGGUAGGAUGUAGCAGUGCCAAAACUGAGGGAGGUCUAUUAAUCUGAACCGCCGUGACGUGAACGGGCAAAAGCGCUGAGGGAGGAGCGUCCUUCUGAAAUCGAACAGUAAUCUGCAUCACUCGUUCAUGUUAUCAACAAGGCAGCAUUGUUCAGAAACAUAUACAGCAUAUCUUUACCAUCAAUAUAUGUUCAGAUUUUCUAACUAGUUUUCAUUGGAAUGGCAGAUAAAGGGUUUUUAUCAAAAGCAAUCACUGUUGCAUGUGAAGACACAGAAACCUACUCAUUACUCCAUGUGCUUAACCUACGUCACUUUUGUUUUGAGCCGACUUCAACGUCGGCCAGAGCGGGGGACCUGGCUCAUGCCCUGGGGGCAGCCUGGUUUCAAAUGGAAUACAAUCAACUUUCAGCCAGUGCAAAACACACCUACACGGGCAACAAGGUUGUGUCCAGUACGGGGUAUACUUUCACAUCCCUAGGACAAAGGACGUCAACAUUGCACAGCAGCUGAAACCUGGUUCCAUCUGAGUGAAAGCACACCAGGCUCCAGACAAUUAAAGCUUUAAAGGAGGAAAGCAGACAAAACUAGACAAGAUAAUAAAGCCUUGCAUACCAGCAAUAACAGUAAUUGACCCCCAAAUUCAAGCAAUAAGCACAAAGUACAAAGACAAAAUACACGAAGUGUGGCUUGUUCACCACCGAUCAUCUCUUUAUACUGGUGGCGGAGAGCAGAUUUAUGCUGAAAGAGAAAUGACAGAAAAAUAGGUUUAUUAUUGCCUGUAGACUGUUACAGCUGUACUAAAAUGCCCUGUACACACUUAACCUACUUCCAGCCCAACAACGGCAAUGCAGACACA